rnacentral:rRNA from 1 species
AAUAAACAUCAAAAAAAAUAAAAAAGUAAUUCAAAGGGGUUAUUAAGGAAAACUAAGGCAAAUUUAUAAAAAAAGGAGGUAUAUUACCAAAAGUUUAUAGGCUAUUAUUAGUAGUAUUAGUAGUAUUAGUAGUAUUAUCUGGUACCUAGUAGUAGCACAUAUGUGAACGAUCCUAAGGGAAACCUUGUUAAUUAAAUACUUUCUGAAGUAAAACAUUUUAUUAGGGAAAGGAAAAGAAAUCAACCGAGACUCCGAAAGUAAUGGUGAGUGAAAUCGGAUUAGCCAAAUUAAUAAAAUAAAUUGAAUAACUUAAAUAUUUAAAUAAAGUACGAUGAGAGAAACCUUGUCGGAAUAUAGGGGUACCAUCCUCUAAGGCUAAGUAUUAUAAAUUUAGCGAUAGUGAAUAAGUACUGUAAAGGAAAAGUUUGAAAAGCGAGUGGUAUACAAAAAAAGUGAAUUAUUAAAAUAUUUAAUAUAAAAAAAUUAAAAUUUUAAUAAUGAAUUGGUGAAAUAGAUCAUGAAUUAGUAACUCUAUAAGCAGUCGAAAUUCUACUUAAAAACAUAAAAGAAUAAUGAAUGACGGCGUACCUUUUGCAUAAUGGGUCAGCAAGUUAAUAGGAGUAGCAAGGUUUAAAGCCCUAGCGAAAGCGACUGGACUAUAAUUUAAAAAUACAAACAAAAAAAUUUGUAUUCUAAAAACAUAUAGUGAUGGGUCAGUUACUUCUAUUAGACCCGAAGCCAGGUGAUCUUACCAAGACCAGAUUAUAAUGGAUCGAACGGGUGAAUGUUGCAUAAUUCUCCGAUGAGUUUUGGUAAGCGGUGAAAUGCCAAUCUGACCUGGUGCUAGCUGGUUUUCUACCGAAACAUAUUUAAGUAUGACGUCUACACAAAAUUUAUGGAGGUACAGCAAGGCAAUUCCCAACAAGUUUAAGGGUUGUGUUUAUUAAAUUUUUUUUAUUAACACUUCUACCUUUUAGGCGUUUAGGUUGCGGGGACCUCGAAAAUCUUACCUUUGGAAGCGAAUCUCGGAAUUACAUAAAUUGAUGGUAGAUAUUCAGACUACUCAUGCUAAGUUGGGUAGUCAAGACGGAAACAGCCGAGAACACUGAUCAAGGUCCCAAAUGAUUGUUAAGUGAAAUUAAGGACGUAGCAAUAUCGUAUACAGCUGUGAAGUGAGCCUGGUAGUCGCUACUUUUAAUGAUCGUAUGUAACAACGCAUCAGCAGUCUAGAUAGUAGCGCCGAAAAUUUAACGGGUCUUAAACAAUCAACCGAUAUCGUGUUGGUUUAGAGUAUUAAGAGGGAUUAAUAUUUCAUAUUUAAUUAUAUUUUUUUUCAAUUAUAUAUUUAAUUAUAUUUUUUUAAUUAUAUAUUAAUUAUUUAUAAAUAUUAUGAAGCCUUUCUAUUUCUAAAUCUAGGUAGUAGAACAUUCAGUCAAACUAAUCAUAAAAUAGUGUUUCAUUAUUUUUUAGGUUACUGAAGAGAGAAUGCUGACAUGAGUAACGUAAAAAGAAGUUAUAAUACUUCUCGCCGAAUACGAAAGGGUUGCAAAUAGGAAAGGUUAAUCCAUUUUGUUUGAAUGCGGCCUCUAAGGACCAAAACCAAAGUUUUGGCUGAUGAGUAUAUAAUAGAAAGUCCAUUUUUUUAAUGGACCAGGAAAUUAAUAUUAUAAGUAAUAAUUUUUACUGUAUAACGAUGUCGACUCAUCCUAUCCUCCGGGGGAAGAAGCUUGGAAGGGUUCGGCUGUUCGCCGAUUAAAAGGGUACGUGAGUUGGGUUUAAUACGACGUGAGUCAGUAUGGUCCCUAUCUUCUGGAGGGAUAAUUAGUAAAAAGGGGCAGACCUUCUAGUACGAAAGGAUCAAUAGGCUGUGUUUCUCUAGUGUACCAAUUGUUUGUACUAUUUUGUUAGGGACUCAUCUCUUCAAUAGGAGAGAAGCGGGGAAAAUCCUUUUGAACUUUAAGCUAAAAUAGUUCUUUAAAUUAAAUACCCUUAAAUAAGGUUAUGAUAAAAGGUCACAAAAUAGGAACGCAUAGUUGGGUAGCCACAAACAUAAUAGAUAAGUGCUGAAUGUCUAUAAAGCAAGAAUCUAACCCCUAGAUACUUUAAAAAUGAUUAUUUAUUUUAAUUACAAGCUUAAUUUUUAAGUAUAAAUUAGAUUAAAAUAUCAUUAAUUAAGAAAUAGAACAUUUCUAGAUAGGCUGCAAAUGAAAUAUAUUGUAAAAUAUUUAGUUUAGCAGUACUAAUUUAUAAAGAAACUCGAUG